rnacentral:rRNA from 1 species
GACGAACGCUGGCGGCGUGCCUAAUACAUGCAAGUUGAGCGAUGAAGAUUGGUGCUUGCACCAAUUUGAAGAGCAGCGAACGGGUGAGUAACGCGUGGGGAAUCUGCCUUUGAGCGGGGGACAACAUUUGGAAACGAAUGCUAAUACCGCAUAAUAACUUUAAACAUAAGUUUUAAGUUUGAAAGAUGCAAUUGCAUCACUCAAAGAUGAUCCCGCGUUGUAUUAGCUAGUUGGUGAGGUAAAGGCUCACCAAGGCGAUGAUAGAUAGCCGACCUGAGAGGGUGAUCGGCCACAUUGGGACUGAGACACGGCCCAAACUCCUACGGGAGGCAGCAGUAGGGAAUCUUCGGCAAUGGACGAAAGUCUGACCGAGCAACGCCGCGUGAGUGAAGAAGGUUUUCGGAUCGUAAAACUCUGUUGGUAGAGAAGAACGUUGGUGAGAGUGGAAAGCUCAUCAAGUGACGGUAACUACCCAGAAAGGGACGGCUAACUACGUG